GGGCGCUUGGUUUAGUGGUAUAACGCUCCAUUUGCAUUGGAGAGGUCCGGGGUCCGAUUCCCCGAGUGUCCA
rfam:Aspergillus versicolor CBS 583.65 unplaced genomic scaffold ASPVEscaffold_5, whole genome shotgun sequence.